UACAGAGACUGCAAGCGUUAUUCGGAUUUACUGGGCGUAAAGCGUGUGUAGGUGGUUUAACAAGUCGGUUGUGAAAUCCCCGGGCUCAACCUGGGAACUGCUUCCGAGACUGUUCGACUAGAGUACGGUAGAGGGCGGUGGAAUUUCCGGUGUAGCGGUGUAAUGCGUAGAUAUCGGAAGGAACACCAAUGGCGAAGGCAGCCGCCUGGGCCUGUACUGACACUGAGACACGAAAGCGUGGGGAUCAAACAGG
rnacentral:rRNA from 1 species